UACGUAGGCAGCAAGCGUUGUUCGGAAUUACUGGGCGUAAAGAGUGUGUAGGCGGUGCUCUAAGUCUGUUGUGAAAUCUCCCGGCUUAACUGGGAGGGUGCGGCGGAGACUGGAGUGCUAGAGUGUGGGAGAGGCGAGUGGAAUUCCUGGUGUAGCGGUGAAAUGCGCAGAUAUCAGGAGGAACACCUAUUGCGAAGGCAGCUCGCUGGGACGUAACUGACGCUGAGACGCGAAAGCGUGGGGAGCAAACAGG
rnacentral:rRNA from 1 species